rnacentral:rRNA from 1 species
UACGUAGGGUGCAGGCGUUGUCCGGAAUUAUUGGGCGUAAAGCGCGCGCAGGCGGUUUCUUAAGUCUGAUGUGAAAGCCCACGGCUCAACCGUGGAGGGUCAUUGGAAACUGGGGAACUUGAGUGCAGAAGAGAAGAGCGGAAUUCCACGUGUAGCGGUGAAAUGCGUAGAGAUGUGGAGGAACACCAGUGGCGAAGGCGGCUCUUUGGUCUGUAACUGACGCUGAGGCGCGAAAGCGUGGGGAUCAAACAGG